UCUUUCCAAGUAACAUCUUUUUUGUCUGAUUGUUUUUCAGAGUUUCUCUUCGUCUUCAUAUUUUAGCAGUUUUACUGCAAUGAGUCUAAGUGAGGUUGAGGAUGAGCUUCACCUGGGAGAUUGGUUGUCGGUAAUGUUUUAAUUAGCAAUGAACAAACCAACUGCACAGCAUUUGAUGUCUAAGACUGUGGGCAUUUGUGGAGACUGUGAUAUCACUACGGGAACUACCUUGUGGGGACAAAGAAGAUGAUGCCCUCCUCCUCUGCUCAUGCUCACAGGGACCCUGACCUGCUGAACCUCUCAUUCCUGUCCUGACCCUACCAUGGGCACCAGGCUCCUCUGCUGGAUGACCAUCUCUCUCUCGGGCGCAGAACUCGCAGAAGGUGAAGUCACCCAGUCUCCCAGACAGAAGAUCACAGAACAAAAUGGGCCGUGGCUUUGUAAUGUGAUCCUAUUCUGAUCACCAUACCCUUACUGGUACCUACCGACCCUGGGACAGGGCCUGGAGCUUCUGAUUGUCUUUGAGGAUGUGGCUGUAGUAGAUGAUUCACAGCUGCCUAAGAGUCGAUUUUCUGCAGAGAGACCCGAAGGAGGAGACUCUAAUCUCCAGAUCCAGCCUCCAGAGCUGGGGACUCAGCUGUGUAUUUCUGUGCCGGUAGCUUAGCCACAGCCUUGCAGAAACUCUUCCUUCCUGUGCACAAAACAUCAUGGUUCCUCUCUCUAUUCAGCUCACAGCAGCUGUAAACAGGGCCCUUCCCCUGUUCCUCAUGAUCAGGGGAAAGCAGUGGGCUUGCAGAGAUAAGCUGUGAUUCACAUAAAGGGAGGGCAUGAAUUAUUUCUUGUAACAUGAGGGCUGAAAAUGUUGUUUGAAAAUAAUUAUGACUCGAGGAUUUAACACUCUUCUUGGUGACAACUCAAAGAUGCAAAACAGAAAGUGACUGAUCACAGACUCAGCCGUCAGGGGCUAGUGAUGGUUGUUCUCCUAUAAAAAUACGCAAUCACGAAACAUGUUUAAUAAACAUUAAUAACACAGAUGGCAAUAAUAUGAGAGUAGUGAACAGCAGGCUCUCCCUCUGUGUUCGUAUCACUGUCUAAACAACUUGAAUCGAUAUCCUUCACUCUUAAACUUCUUCUCUGCCCUCACUCAGGAAGUUUUCUACAUCAAAGUCUCAACACAUAGCAUGUGUUUGGAAACAUUUUUUUCCUGUUUUUUAGAAAUGUAUUGAUAAUGAUAAUGUUAAUGAUGAUGAUAAUAAUGUCAGCUAUUUUAUUCAACCCUUUUCCAACUUCAGUGCAACACACACAGAUGGAUAUCCUGGCAAUUGGACAUAAAUCUUAGCUUAAAAUAAUUCUCCUUAUGCCAGAGAGGUCUAACUCUUCAAUAUAACCAACACAGCUCAACAUCAUCUCUAGGCUGAGCCAGCAGGUGCAGAGGCUCUAAAGGAUGUUUCCAGAUCUGCCUUAGUGACUUACAAUAGUGCCUUAGUGCAUUAAAAUGUUCCUUAGUAAGAACUUAUGAAACAACCAAUGGCCCCUGAAACAAUCGCCCCCUCUGAUAACACACCCUCUGUGAGGAGGUCUGUAUCCUCUACUCUACCUUCUGCCUGGAUUUUCUGAGAUGACACUAGAAACCAUUCUGAAACAUUGCUGGGAGCUAUUUGGGAAGCAGCUCACUGAGAUUCCCCUGAAGGCACUGUCACUGCCCCCCAGGACUGCGAGCUUCAUUUCCCUCCUGAUCCAACUGGGACUGCAGAUCCUACCGUAUGUCCACUCACUUGUUGUCUGUCUCAACUCCUCUGCCCACACCUCCACCCAAUUCACUUGUCUGACAAAACCUCAGUCAGUGAUGAACAUAGCUGCCCACCAUCUCCUUGCCAGAAUGUUCAUUUGGUUCUGUCUCCAACCUGCUAGGUCACAUUUUAUAGUUAUUAAUUCUCUAAUAACAUUUUCCAAGAUUAUUAUUUUUCUCCUUAAACAUAGGAAACGUAGUUGUUUCAAUAUGUCUGACCAAUUCUCACAUCUGGAAUCUUUGUGGGGCGAUUUUUGUUGAUUUACUUUCUCUGUUGUUCCUCAGUCAUGAUGUUUGUAUUUUUCUUUAUGAAUCUGAUUAUCUUUGACUUUGUGUCAGACACUAGACUUGUGGAAAUAAUUUUUGCCUAGGAUGGACACGGACCUUCCUCCAGAGAGAAUUUUAUUUUGCUUCUGCCAAGUGCAUGAGUGUAUCAACAGUCUGGGGCCGCCUGAAUCAGAAUUCCACGUGUGAGCUGUCCCGGAUCCCCUAGAGAACAGCUCUCCCUCCAGCUCCUCUGUACACUGAGUUCUUCAAUGCUCCACAUUUGCUGUGACUUUUGUCCCCCUGGCCUGUGAGUCACCUUGUGAGGGCAGAGUCAGGGUAUAGGGACUGCUGAGCUCCCCCCUUUGGUGCCUCACCCUCCCAAGGACCCAGCCUAGCGUCCCUCACUACAUUUUAAGACAUUAGUUAGUAUAAGUUUCUGAUGUUGUUAUUUUAUCUGAC
rnacentral:lncRNA from 1 species